GACUUUGUGGUGCAACGGUAGCGUGUCUUGACUCCACAUUGGAAGGUUGUGUGUUCAAAUCACAUUGGGGUCA
rnacentral:tRNA from 1 species